UUCCCGAAUUUAAAAGAGUUAUUUAUUUUAUUGUAAUAAAUAUUUAUAAUAUGUAAUGAAAUGUUAAUAUAUCUGGUUUUUUAAGAAAAUUUAAUUUACUUAUACUUUUAGGGAUAAGCUUAAAAUAGAAUUAGAAAUUUUGUUAUUAUUUACUUAUUAAAAUAUAUUUUUUAAUUUUUUUAGAUAUAAUGUUAAAAUUAGUAUAAGGUUAAGAAAAGGAAUUCGGCAAAUAUUUUUCACCUGUUUAUUAAAAACAUGGCCUUUAGAUUAUAAUUUAAGGUCUGGCCUGCCCACUGAGGCCGCGGUAAUUUGACCGUGCAAAGGUAGCAUAAUCAUUAGUUUUUUAAUUGAAAGCUGGCAUGAAUGGUUGAAUGAAAAAAGAACUGUCUCUUUUUAAUAGAAUUUUAUUUUUAAGUAAAAAAGCUUAAAUUAAGUUAAAAGACGAGAAGACCCUAUAGAGUUUUAUUUUAAUUGGGGCGAUUGAAAAAUAUAAUAAACUUUUGAUUAUUAGAUAAAAUUACCUUAGGGAUAACAGCGUAAUUUUCUUUAGAGUUCUAAUUGUGAAGAAAGUUUGCGACCUCGAUGUUGGAUUAAAGUUUAUUAUGGUGCAGAAGCU
rnacentral:rRNA from 1 species